GACGAACGCUGGCGGCGUGCCUAAUACAUGCAAGUAGAACGCAGUGGCGAACGGGUGAGUAACGCGUAGGUAACUGCCUGGUAGCGGGGGAUAACUAUUGGAAACGAUAGCUAAUACCGCAUACUACCAGAUGGAGCUGCGUUGUAUUAGCUAGUGGGUGGGGUAACGGCUCACCAAGGCAACGAUACAUAGCCGACCUGGGAGGGUGGUCGGCGAAACUGGGACCGAGACAAGGCCCAGACUCCUACGGGAGGCAGCAGUAGGGAAUCUUCGGAAAUGGGCGGAAGUCUGACCGAGCAACGCCGGGUGAGUGAAGAAGGUUUUCGGAUCGUAAAGCUCUGUUGUAUGAGAAGCGGUAUCUUACCAGAAAGGGACGGCUAACUACGUGCCAGCCGCCGCGGUAAUAC
rnacentral:rRNA from 1 species